GUGCCAGCAGCCGCGGUAAGACGAACCGUGCGAACGUUGUUCGGAAUCACUGGGCUUAAAGGGCGCGUAGGCGGGUUCGCAAGUCUGUGGUGAAAGCCUCCAGCUUAACUGGAGAAGUGCCGUGGAUACUGCGAAUCUUGAGGAGGGUAGGGGCGUCUGGAACGGUCGGUGGAGCGGUGAAAUGCGUUGAUAUCGACCGGAACUCCGGUGGCGAAGGCGAGGCGCUGGACCCUUUCUGACGCUGAGGCGCGAAAGCCAGGGGAGCAAACGGGAUUAGAAACCCCGGUAGUCC
rnacentral:rRNA from 1 species